UGGGGAAUAUUGCACAAUGGGCGCAAGCCUGAUGCAGCAACGCCGCGUGAACGAUGAAGGUCUUCGGAUCGUAAUGUUCUGUUGCAGGGGAAGAUAAUGACGGUACCCUGUGAGGAAGCCCCGGCUAACUACGUGCCAGCAGCCGCGGUAAUACGUAGGGGGCUAGCGUUAUCCGGAUUUACUGGGCGUAAAGGGUGCGUAGGUGGUCUUUCAAGUCGGUGGUUAAAGGCUACGGCUCAACCGUAGUUAGCCUCCGAAACUGGAAGACUUGAGUGCAGGAGAGGAAAGUGGAAUUCCCAGUGUAGCGGUGAAAUGCGUAGAUAUUGGGAGGAAGACCAGUAGCGAAGGCGGCUUUCUGGACUGCAACUGACGCUGAGGAACGAAAGAGUGGGUAGCAAACAGG
rnacentral:rRNA from 1 species